ensembl:snoRNA SNORA70 Small nucleolar RNA SNORA70
UUGCAGACAAUUAAGCUGACCAUGCUCUUUUCCCCAUGGGGGCCUGGUGUGCAAUGGCUGCAAACAGUAGCCUCGUCGGUAGCGUAUACAGCCUGUUGCCUGUGUGGGUUGCCCUAAGGGGCCUUGGAGACAGCC